UACGGAGGGUGCGAGCGUUGUCCGGAAUCACUGGGCGUAAAGGGCGCGUAGGCGGUGCGGUACGGUUUCGGUGAAAUCCCUCGGCCCAACCGAGGAACAGCCGGGGCUACGGCCGCGCUCGACGGCAUCAGGGGACAGUGGAACUCCCGGUGGAGCGGUGAAAUGCGUAGAUAUCGGGAGGAACGCCGGUGGCGAAAGCGACUGUCUGGGGUGCCUGUGACGCUGAGGCGCGAAAGCCAGGGGAUCAAACGGG
rnacentral:rRNA from 1 species